rnacentral:rRNA from 1 species
AUGGAGCAGGUCAGCGUGCUCACGAAGUCGGAUAUGACCGGCAAUGACAUCGUUGCCGCCUGGGUCAGCCGGAGGAUCCAGCCACUUCAGGCCCGCGGCAGUUUCAGAAAAGAUGCUGAAGCUGAUUCAAGAAAUGCUAGUAAGGCUGUUGAUCAAAAUCCUCCGCCACCAAAGCAAGAUUUCAUCCAUGUGAGGGCAAGAAGGGGUCAAGCAACCAACAGCCAUAGCCUUGCAGAAAGGGCACGUCGUGAGAAAAUAACCGAGUGGGUGAAAAUUCUCCAAGAUCUUGUCCCUGGAUGUAAUAAGGUUAUUGGCAAAGCAUCGGUCCUCAGUGAGAUAAUCAAUUAUGUCCAAGCUUUGGAACGUCAAAUUGAGUUCCUGUCCAGGAAGCUUGAGGCGGUUAAUGCCCAUGCUCACAAUGGGGCCGAGACAUUUCCAACUAAAGAUGUAAGUCUAAUAUUUGACCCGCAAACACCAAGGGAGUACACGCAAGGCUCGCCGGCUUCAGAGUGGCUUCGCAUGCAGAUUGGUGGCAACUACGAAAGGGCGACAUGA